rnacentral:rRNA from 1 species
GUCUUUUUGAUUAAUAAUUUAAAGUUUAAUCUGCCCCCUGAUUAAUAAUUAAAGGGCUGCAGUAUAUUGACUGUACAAAGGUAGCAUAAUCAUUAGUCUUUUAAUUGAAGACUUGUAUGAAAGAUUUGAUGAAAUAUAAACUGUCUCUAAAUUAAUUAUAGAAAUUAAUUUUUUAAUUAAAAAGUUAAAAUAAUUUAAAAAGACGAGAAGACCCUAUAGAGUUUUAUAAUAAUUAAAAAUUUAAAUUAAAUAUAUAAAUAAUAAAUUUAAAAUUUUAUUAUUAUUUUAUUGGGGUGAUAAAAAAAUUUAAUUAACUUUUUUUAAAAUAAAAUCAUAAAUAAGUGAAUAGAUGAUCCAUAAUUAAUGAUUAAAAGAAAAAAUUACCUUAGGGAUAACAGCGUAAUUUUUUUUUUUAGUACAAAUAAAAAAAAAAGGUUGCGACCUCGAUGUUGGAUUAAGAUAAAAUUUAAAUGCAAAAGUUUAAAAUUUUGAUCUGUUCGAUCAUUAAAAUCUUACAU